GCCUUCGUGGUGUAAUGGUCAGCACACUGAGCCGGUAUUUCAGAGGUCCGCGGUUCGAAACCCGACGAAGGCC
rnacentral:tRNA from 1 species